ACAUACGACCAUACCCAUUGGAAAACUCGGGAUCCCGUCCGCUCUCCCAUAGAUAAGCCGAUGAGGGCUGGAGUAGUAGUCGGGUCGGUGACGACCGGCGAAUGCCCGGUGUUGUAUGUU
rnacentral:rRNA from 1 species